GUGGCCGUCCAUGGCAGCAUCGUUACUUUCUGUCAUCGUUGUGAGACCGUAAUCUCCGCCUGGAGGCUCUUUAGUUUACUCUGUCCUUACGUGUUAAGUAGUGAUGUUGGCUGUUUUUCUUUUAUUUUUUGACAACUUGUGGCAAUGUAGCGAAGGUUUCGUUCAUCGUGGUGGAACCUGUCAAGUCCUAAAUUUUGGUACUUAGAUGCAAAGGCCGAGAUCACAACCACCUCUUGGAAAGGAAAAAAAAAUGGCUUCGGGCACUGUUUCUAUUUCCAUGAAAAUGGAAAAAUCAACCAUGCAAAACUUUGCAUGAUUGUGCAAAUCCAAAAGGAACUGAACGGGCAAAUGAAGAAAAAUCCAGGUGCCGGGCAGAAUUAGCAAAAGGCAAAGCUGUACCAAAAACGUUAAGUGACGAAGGCCGCCGCCGCUUUGUCAGCCUGUUUAAAGGCCACCUGUGCAGGGCCGUGAAGUGACGAAGCAGC
rnacentral:lncRNA from 1 species